UACGUAGGGGGCAAGCGUUGUCCGGAAUUAUUGGGCGUAAAGAGCGCGUAGGCGGUCCGAUAAGUCGGCUGUGAAAGUCAUGGGCUCAACCCAUGAAAGCCGGCCGAUACUGUCGGACUAGAGUCCGGAAGAGGCGAGUGGAAUUCCCGGUGUAGCGGUGAAAUGCGCAGAUAUCAGGAGGAACACCAAUUGCGAAGGCAGCUCGCUGGAACGUAACUGACGCUGAGACGCGAAAGCGUGGGGAGCAAACAGG
rnacentral:rRNA from 1 species